UACGGGGGGGGCAAGCGUUGUUCGGAAUUACUGGGCGUAAAGGGCGCGUAGGCGGCACAGCAAGUCGGGAGUGAAAGCCCGGGGCUCAACCCCGGAAUGGCUUUCGAAACUGCUGAGCUAGAGUACAGAAGGGGCAACCGGAAUUCCCAGUGUAGCGGUGAAAUGCGUAGAUAUUGGGAAGAACACCUGAGGCGAAGGCGGCGACCUGGUCCGUGACUGACGCUGAGGCGCGAAAGCGUGGGGAGCAAACGGG
rnacentral:rRNA from 1 species